AUAGGUUGUUAAUAGGAAUAAUAAUCACCUCUAACCAUUCCGAACAGAGAAGUUAAAAUUAUUCACGCUGAUGGUACUAAUUAUUAUUUAAUUGGGAGAGUAAGUACAGCCCAUU
rnacentral:rRNA from 1 species